GACGAACGCUGGCGGCGUGCCUAAUACAUGCAAGUCGAACGCAUUUUCUUUCACCGUAGCUUGCUACACCGAAAGAAAAUGAGUGGCGAACGGGUGAGUAACACGUGGGUAACCUGCCCAUCAGCGGGGGAUAACACUUGGAAACAGGUGCUAAUACCGCAUAAUUCCAUUUACCGCAUGGUAAAUGGAUGAAAGGCGCUUUUGCGUCACUGAUGGAUGGACCCGCGGUGCAUUAGCUAGUGGGUGGGGUAACGGCCUACCAAGGCUGCGAUGCAUAGCCGACCUGAGAGGGUGAUCGGCCACACUGGGACUGAGACACGGCCCAGACUCCUACGGGAGGCAGCAGUAGGGAAUCUUCGGCAAUGGACGCAAGUCUGACCGAGCAACGCCGCGUGAGUGAAGAAGGUUUUCGGAUCGUAAAACUCUGUUGUUAGUGAAGAACAAGGAUGAGAGUGGAAAGUUCAUCCCUUGACGGUAUCUAACCAGAAAGCCACGGCUAACUACGUG
rnacentral:rRNA from 1 species